CUUUAUGAAAACUUCUCAAGAAAAGGAAAUGCCUCUUAAGGUUUUUAGAUCUACAGACCAGAGCUGCCAGAUGAUAACCUGCUUGGCAUGUUUUUUUGAUAUGCAUGGCAUUUUUUCCUCACACCCUGGUAUUUAACCCUCUUAAAAGAAUUUGCCAGAAGGAAGAAUUCUCGCUUGCCAUGGAUGCAUCCUUGAAAAAGGGAUGAAGAUGAUCAAUAAGAAAUUGGACUAGGAUACUGCAAAUUAGCAUCUCCAUCUCCAUCUUUCUGCUUACAACAACACAAAAUCUUUACAAGCUAAAUCCUGACUGUGGAGGAACAACCAUGGGAGAGCAGAGGUUGAUCCUGUGACAUGCAUGUCCUGCCAGUCUAGUGUGGGUUAUCUCACAGAUAGCUAGCAAUCAUCAGAAAGUCAAUGGCACCAAAGUUGUCCUUCAGCUCCUAAUCAAGGUCAUUAUGAGAGAGUGCACGUGUGCCCACACACACAGAGAAAGGUAUUAUUCUGACUGACAGAAUAUGUUAAAUGUUUGACAGUCUCCAGAUUAUCUGCAGUUACGUUGAACAUA